UACGGGGGGAGCAAGCGUUGUUCGGAUUUACUGGGCGUAAAGGGUGUGUAGGCGGUUUUCUAAGUCUGGUGUGAAAUCUCCCGGCUCAACUGGGAGGGUGCGCCGAAAACUGGAAGGCUAGAGUGCGGGAUGGGAGAGUGGAAUUCCUGGUGUAGCGGUGAAAUGCGUAGAUAUCAGGAGGAACACCUGUGGUGUAGACGGCUCUCUGGACCGCAACUGACGCUGAGACACGAAAGCGUGGGUAGCAAACAGG
rnacentral:rRNA from 1 species